rnacentral:rRNA from 1 species
CCCCCCCUAGCUUUUCCCGCCUAUAUACCACCGUCGCCAGCUUACCCUGUGAAGGACUAACAGUAAGCACAAUCGGCACAGCCCAGAACGUCAGGUCGAGGUGUAGUGCAUGGGAGGGGAAGAAAUGGGCUACAUUCGCUGCCUCCAGCGAACACGAAUGAUGCAUUGAAACAUGCAACUGAAGGAGGAUUUAGCAGUAAGCAGGAAGUAGAGCGUCCCGCUGAAGCCGGCUCUUAAGCGCGCACACACCGCCCGUCACCCUCUCCGAGCAGCUGGCCCUGAAUUUUUCUUAAACCAUUACAAUCGCGAAGGAGAGGAAAGUCGUAACAUGGUAAGCGUACCGGAAGGUGCGCUUGGUUAAAU